GCCGGGUGUGGUGGUGCACACCUGUGAUUCCAAUGGCUCGGAAGGCUGAGGCAGGAGGAUCGUGAAUUGGAAGCCAGCCUUAACAACUUGGCAAGGCCCUAAGCAACUCAGUGAGACCCUGUCUCUA
rnacentral:sRNA from 1 species